AUAGGAACGUACGCUAGCGCCAAGGUUAGUAUGUGCUUCUAUAGUAACCUUGUGCUAGCGCCACCUAACCAACGUCAAAAUUAAGGCACUCUUCACAAAACGAAGUAAGAGAUACGUGAAUCUGAGUGCACGUGCGUUGGGUAUUAGAAAACCGAUCUAAUCUCUGGUGGCAAGUGUGCAUUUUCUGCCUGUUCUGCAGUUCUCCACUUUUAAACCGAUGUUAUGUGAUCUGCGAUCUUGAUCUUUGACCUGACAAUUAACCAGACUUCUCUGUGACAAACACCAAGUGUCACGAUUAAUCCACUCUUUUGAGGAGGGACACAAAACAGACAUGCCAGUUGGGGCACGAAUGGUUAGGCAUAGUACCAUUAACGAGGAAUUUCUGUGGAAACGUUAUUGGUGACCUUGGGCCUACAACUUGCUUUAAUUGAACGCAGCCUGUUAAAAUGUUAUAGAAAAAAUAUAUACUAAUUCGUUACGGUUAUGUGGAGUUGUCUUCGUAUUCUUUUCACUAAAUAAUUCUAAAGAACAAGGAUAGACCA